UAAUAUAAACAAUUUAAAGAAUUUUAUCAAGAGUAGCCAAACACCUCGUCAUCAAUUAAGUGACGCAUAUGAUAUUGUCCCUAUCAUAUAAUUAAUAUAAAGAAUUUAAAGAAUUUUAUCAAGAGUAUCCAAACACCUCGUCAUCAAUUUAGUGACGCAUAUGAUAGUGUCCCUAUCAUAUAAUUAAUAUAAAGAAUUUAAAGAAUUUUCUCAAAAGUAGCCAAACACCUCGUCAUCAAUUUAGCGACGCAUAUGAUAUUGUCCCUAUCAUAUAAUUAAUAUAAACAAUUUAAAGAAUUUUAUCAAGAGUAGCCAAACACCUCGUCAUCAAUUUAGUGACGCAUAUGAUAUUGUCCCUAUUAUAUAAUCAAUAUAAUAACUUUAAAGAAUUUUAUCAAGAGUAGCCAAACACCUCGUCAUUAAUUACUAUAAUAGGUAGGCAGUGGUUGCCGACCUCUCAUAUUGUUCAAAACGUAUGUAUUCAUAUGAUUUUGGCAAUUAUAUGAGUAAAUUAAAUCAUAUACAUAUGAAAAUGAAUAUUUAUUAUAUGUAUAAGUAUUAUAGAGAAAAGCCAUUUUAGUGAAUGGAUAUAGUAGUGUAAGCUAGCUGUUCUACGACAGAGGGUUCAAAAACUACUAUAGGUAGGCAGUGGUUGCCGACCUCGCAUUGUUCGAAAUAUAUAUUUCGUAUUAUGAUUAUAUUGGUUACUUAUAAUAAAGUAUAUUAUUAUCCGUACAAAUUUGUUUCUCAGUUCUUUUUGAACACGGGACUUGGCUCCGCGGAUAAUAGGAAUAUACCGCUAUUUUAGAUAAUAUCGUUGAAACAAAAGUCAAG
rnacentral:rRNA from 1 species